GCCGCCCCCACCCCACGCGCAUGUCUUUCGAUUCCCUCGCCGCCUCCCCGUUACCAACGCACGUCUCUUGAUCGAUCCCUGUGCGUGAUCGCCGCCGUCGCCGUCUCUCCAGAUCGCCGCCAUCGUCGUCUCUCCAGAUCGCCGCCUCCGCCGUCCCUCCAGAUCCACACAUCACGCAUCUCUUGUGCCCCGUUCGUCUCCUCGCCGGAUCCCGUCUUCGUCCGCCGCCUCCUCCCCCCCUGUGGCGAUGACCGGAGACCAACAAGACAGCAUCGUGCCCCUGGUAUUUCCUUCCCCGUCCUCUAACCCUCUACCUGAGGUUGGCGAUGGCUCGCUUCACUACCAAUCGUCCCCACCCGUGCUGCCGCCUCCGUCGGGAUCCCCUCGCCGCCUCAUUGUCCUCUUCCAAUGUUGGAGUCGCCAGGAUCAUCUGUAGGUAGAUUUUUGCUAGGCUGUCCAAGAGAUCAAUCGAUGGGUAGGUGGCAGAUCGGAGGCGGCAGGUCUAGAGACGCAGAUGCCCUUGCACAACACGGCGUCGGCGGCAGCGACAUCCCUGGGAAAGGAUCCCCUUUUCUGUCUAGGACCCCGCUAUCAUUCUCCCCUGCCCCUCCCCCGCUCUGAACGCCUUACCACUUCUCACACUUCCUCUAUCAAGGUCCUUUCCCUGUCCGCAAUGACCGUAUUCCGAGUGCCUCGAUCUUGUGGCAACCUCCUGGUAUGUUUUUUGUCUGAUCCAUGGUCUUCUCAUCCUCUUUAGUUUCUGAUUAGCAUGAUUAUCUUUUAAUAUGAUAGAAUUAUCUCAAGGGAAGAUCUAGGACCCCCCACCAGGUACAACUUUUGGUUGUAUUGAUGUUUUCUGGUGGUAAAAGAUGAUCUCUAUAAUUAUUUCUGCCACUUCAUUAUUUCAUGUACAGCCCACGUUCGCACUCUCGUUAGUUCUGGUGAUCUAUUGAUAUAAAGAUAUUAAUUUUUGCAGCGUAAAUAACUGUGUUCUUUUGUAUGCGUCACCAGGGAUAGGAAAUUGAAAGUCACCAGUGGUGAACAACAAGUGCAGAUUUAAUGUCCUUCAGGUUAUUGAUCAUUGUGGUAAUUCAUUCUUUUGUCAGACUUCAAUUGCAAUUGGGGUUGGAGGGAAGCAACAAAAUUCCUAUCUUGUAAUAGGCUUUUUGGUGUGUGCCCUGAAGGUUCGAGACACACAAAUAGGUACACUAAGUUUGGGAAAGGUAGUUGUCUCCUUAACACACUCCAUGGAGGCCAUAUUGUCUAUUCUAUUCUCUGUCUUCUUCCUUGCACAGACGCCUUCUUUACUGGUAGUAGGUUCUCUCGUGCUGGUUUUCGGUGGAGCUGUACUGUCUUGUUUGACUGAAGUUUCUUAAAUGCAAGAAUCUUUUCGCUAACAAGGAGGAUUAAGAUGAGGAAGAAACCAAGGCAGCGGGUAUGGUCUUUGGGUCGAGACCACGACCCUUAGUGUAGUCGUUGCACACAUCACAGAGAUGCUCCCUGGUGCGGCCGAGGCCAUUUCGUCCAUUUCCUUAGACGGACUUGGGUCUGUCGGCCGUGCGUGAGAGACUAGAUGGCAGGGGCGCGUGGCCGACGUUCUAUGCAUUUUUGGUGGGCUUGGGGCAUGACUAUGGCAUAGGUGGUGAGGAUGGAGAGGCACAUAUAUCUGUACGGCCCAUAGGCAAGAACCCGCUCAACGGCUAAUUAGUGGUUUUGUCUGUCAUGUCUUCGUUAGUGAUGUGUUGAUGCGCAUAUAUCCAACUAUUCAUGCUCUAUUUUGGCGGCAACCUUGUAAGGGCAUAUUUCUUCCUAAGUGGUUUUGGUGAUUGAUGACAAUGCUUUUGCGGACUAAUCGUGUGCAUUGAGCAUUUCAGA